rnacentral:RNase_P_RNA from 6 species
UCUCCAAACUAGGUGAUUGCCCUUAUGCCCAGCGGGUAUAUGGGAGGAAAGUCCGAACACUAAUCCCGCUUUAGCGGGAAAAACGGUAGCGGGUAACGCCCGUCGGUCGCGAGACCAGAGGUGCGAGCAGAGACGCUUCGACACGAAAGUGCCGGAGAAGCUAAACCCUAAAUUAAUGAUUUCAUCAUUGAUUACAGCUUAGUUCCGAUUGAGGGCUUAAAAAUCGGAAGUGAAACGGCAAAAUCCUUACCGGAGUGCAAGUUCAGCGUUUCGUUAGUUGGCGUCCGCCAGCUGGCGGAUCGAAAAGUUAGAACGCUUCAGGUGUGUAGCAAUAUACAUCGCAGAUAAAUAAUUGCCUCGGCAUCUAUAAACGAUGCAUAGACAGAAUUCGGCUUAUUGUUUGGAGAACAA